UACGAAGGGGGCUAGCGUUGCUCGGAAUCACUGGGCGUAAAGCGCACGUAGGCGGAUCUUUAAGUCAGGGGUGAAAUCCCAAGGCUCAACCUUGGAACUGCCUUUGAUACUGGGGAUCUCGAGUCCGGAAGAGGUGAGUGGAACUGCGAGUGUAGAGGUGAAAUUCGUAGAUAUGACGCAGAACACCCAUUGCGAAGGCAGCUCGCUACACCGGCAUUGACACUGAGGCACGAAAGCGUGGGGAUCAAACAGG
rnacentral:rRNA from 1 species